AGAUAGUUCGAUGCUAGCGGCUACUAACUUUUCUUCUCUGCAGAGACGCUUUGCUAGUGAUCAGACCAGGAAGGCAUACACAGCAUUGAACGAGCAGUUCGAUGCGUACACCGGGGUCAUCUGGCAGCCCUACACGGAAGCAGCCAUACAAGCGAGAUACCCUGGUUGUAUGUCUGUGCUAUGCACAAGGGACCGAGAUUACUGGAUGACAAAAUCUAAGAUCAUCUUCGAUGUCUUCGUCGAGGAGAUGGCACAACAGAGGGUUAUGAGGCAAUUUGGUCUUCUGCAGUUGGAGCUACCCCCCCCUAUAGAGAACCCGGUGCCAGCACACAUCCACAGGACGACAAGGAAGGGCAUGACCAGGACAACUGCUGACUGGCUAGUUAGACUAGAGCCGUAUGUUAUAGAAUGGGAGACAGCAAACACAAAUCUAUGGCACGAGAAUCACAAUUUCGAUCUCGAUGAAUUCAAUCUCUAUUUGCGGGGCGCUACAUGACCGGAACACGGUUACGCAUUGUUGAGUACUCCCACCCAGAGGAGAUACCGGAUCCUACUCCGUCGGAUAUGUACCCGAGCUAUGAUACUUCGGGCUCUAGGCAGUACGCGGUAAGAUAUAUUUUCUUUACGUAAUGUUGUCACAUACUUUGACGU